ACGGGAGGCAGCAGUGAGGAAUAUUGGUCAAUGGUCGAGAGACUGAACCAGCCAAGUAGCGUGAAGGAUGACUGCCCUACGGGUUGUAAACUUCUUUUAUACGGGAAUAAAAAAGUCCACGUGUGGGUUAUUGCAUGUACCGUAUGAAUAAGGAUCGGCUAAUUCCGUGCCAGCAGCCGCGGUAAUACGGAAGAUCCGAGCGUUAUCCGGAUUUAUUGGGUUUAAAGGGAGCGUAGGCGGGCUUUUAAGUCAGUGGUCAAAGCGUGUGGCUCAACCAUACCACGCCAUUGAUACUGGAUGCCUUGAGUGCACAUAAGGAUGGUGGAAUUCAUGGUGUAGCGGUGAAAUGCUUAGAUAUCAUGAAGAACUCCGAUUGCGAAGGCAGCUGUCCGGGGUGUAACUGACGCUAAUGCUCGAAAGUGCGGGUAUCAAACAGGAUUAGAUACCCUGGUA
rnacentral:rRNA from 1 species